rnacentral:rRNA from 1 species
UACGGAGGAUCCAAGCGUUAUCCGGAAUCAUUGGGUUUAAAGGGUCCGUAGGUGGAUGAUUAAGUCAGGGGUGAAAGUCUGCAGCUCAACUGUAGAAUUGCCUUUGAUACUGGUCAUCUUGAAUUAUUAUGAAGUGGUUAGAAUAUGUAGUGUAGCGGUGAAAUGCAUAGAUAUUACAUAGAAUACCAAUUGCGAAGGCAGAUCACUAAUAAUAUAUUGACACUGAUGGACGAAAGCGUGGGUAGCGAACAGG